ensembl:lincRNA
AAUAAACAUCACCCAGCUUCCUUUUCCCUCCCUCUUGAGAAGGAAUGGUGAUGUCUUGAGAGUCAGAAAGAAAACAGUGACCGAAUAGACAUGAUUUAUUGAAAAAUAAGCAGGGUUCUUCUGGGAGGUCUGUCAGUAUACAUUCAAAUAUAGAUGAGUUCAGUAUGAAGGACAGUGGAAAAGUAGACAGUGAAUUGAAUGACAGCCAUUUGGAUAUCAGCAGAGAGGGUUUCAAGAAAGCAUCCUUUCAAAUGAUUGCAAAACGAGGGUCUGUUGUGCUUCUGUUACUGGCAGGACAGCCAGAGGAGGCAGACAAGACCUUUGAUGCCUGGCAAGCUGUGCCACUGGGAGAGAGAAGAAAGCAGACGGUGGAAUCUCUCCAAGCGAUGACAGACCGGGCUACUGGGUGA